GAUGAACGCUGGCGGCGUGCCUAACACAUGCAAGUCGAGCGAGGGUUUGCUCAGUAUUGAGUAUUCUAAGUCUAGAAUGUUCAAUUCUGAGCAAAACCAAGCGGCGGACGGGUGAGUAACGCGUGGGUAACCUGCCCUAUACACAUGGAUAACAUACUGAAAAGUUUACUAAUACAUGAUAAUAUAUAUUUGUGGCAUCACAGAUAUAUCAAAGUGUUAGCGGUAUAGGAUGGACCCGCGUCUGAUUAGCUAGUUGGUGAGAUAACUGCCCACCAAGGCGACGAUCAGUAGCCGACCUGAGAGGGUGAUCGGCCACAUUGGAACUGAGACACGGUCCAAACUCCUACGGGAGGCAGCAGUGGGGAAUAUUGCACAAUGGGCGAAAGCCUGAUGCAGCAACGCCGCGUGAACGAUGAAGGUCUUCGGAUCGUAAAGUUCUGUUGCAGGGGAAGAUAAUGACGGUACCCUGUGAGGAAGCCCCGGCUAACUACGUGCCAGCAGCCGCGGUAAUACGUAGGGGGCUAGCGUUAUCCGGAUUUACUGGGCGUAAAGGGUGCGUAGGUGGUCCUUCAAGUCGGUGGUUAAAGGCUACGGCUCAACCGUAGUAAGCCGCCGAAACUGGAGGACUUGAGUGCAGGAGAGGAAAGUGGAAUUCCCAGUGUAGCAGUGAAAUGCGUAGAUAUUGGGAGGAACACCAGUAGCGAAGGCGGCUUUCUGGACUGCAACUGACACUGAGGCACGAAAGCGUGGGUAGCAAACAGG
rnacentral:rRNA from 1 species